UACAAGCCUUCAGAUGAGAAUGGCAAGCUUGUAGAGGCUGUUAUAAGAGGCGAUGCUAAGGAUGUCUUAACGAUCAUCCGCCAGGCUUACACGGAUUUCAGAGAAUUGACCAGUGCGUCUUUUGGCGUAGAUGGCAGUAGUAACUUUUUUGUCGUAGACGCCAAUGGAGACAGGAGGACUUUCAUCCCAGAUGAGUUAAAUAAAGAUGGUAUUACCAAUGCUAUUGAGUGCAAAGCAGUUGACACCCCUCACGAUUUAGCUCGAGGUGACCUGGUGAGGAUCCUUCCGACCGCGGCGUCGUCUUACCC